rnacentral:lncRNA from 1 species
CCUUCUUUGGCAAAAGGGAACCAUAAGAUUCCCCCCACCCACCCCCUGGGCCUUGGGCAGGCCCAGGACACACGGACUGUGCCCGUCUCCAGCCUGGCUCCUGGGAGACCCUGUGUGUGGAGACCCCCGCCCUGGGGCUUGGAGGAAACCCAGGCCCUGCUCAGUCCCCUGGGGCCUUGGACAGGCCUGGGGUCCCUGUGUGGACCUCCGUUUCCUCACGUGUGCAGUGUCAGGGACAGGAAGUGUCUGAAUGCUGCUGAGCUCAGGAGACCCCGUAGCCCCCCAUGCUGGCUGGCUUCCCCCUUUCUUUCUCUGUCUGCUGUCCAUCUGUCUCUGUCUGUCUGUCUCUCGGGGACUGACCCAGGUCGGGUGCAUUCAUUUGCUCACACAGGCCCUGAUCCCACCCUUGACCUUGGCCCCGCCGGGAAGGCUGUGUUCCUCCUCCAAGGGCCCCCAGCUGGGGCGGCCCAGGCCCUAUAAGGGGAGAGUCCCCGGUGGGGCUGGGCGUCUUCUGCCA